UUGAUUAUUUCCAUUUUUCUUCCGCCAGGGGACUACGAGCGUAAGCUUAAAACCCAAAGGACUUGGCGGUGCCCUACACCUCCUAGAGGAGCCUGUUCUAUAAUCGAUGAUCCACGUUAUACCUCACCGUUUCUUGCCAAACCCGCCUAUAUACCGCCGUCUCCAACUUACCCUAUGAAGGAUUCACAGUAGGUUUAAAGAUUACUCAUCAGAACGUCAGGUCAAGGUGUAGCGAAUGAAACGGGAAGAAAUGGGCUACAUUUUCUACCUUAGAUCACACGGAUAAUCAAUAUGAAACCUGAUUAUGAAGGAGGAUUUAGCAGUAAAAAGAAACCAACAUGUUCUUUUUAAGUCGGACCUAGGGCGCGUACACACCGCCCGUCACC
rnacentral:rRNA from 1 species